rnacentral:rRNA from 1 species
CGUUAAAAUGAAGUUGACGGGGCCCGCACAAGCGGUGGAGCAUGUGGUUAAUUCGAAGCAACGCGAAGAACCUUACCAGGUCUUGACAUCCCUGACAACCCGAGAGAUCGGGCGUUCCCCUCGGGGGACAGGGUGACAGGUGGUGCAUGGUUGUCGUCAGCUCGUGUCGUGAGAUGUUGGGUUAAGUCCCGCAACGAGCGCAACCCCUAUUGUUAGUUGCCAUCAUUCAGUUGGGCACUCUAGCGAGACUGCCGGUAAUAAACCGGAGGAAGGUGGGGAUGACGUCAAAUCAUCAUGCCCCUUAUGACCUGGGCUACACACGUGCUACAAUGGUUGGUACAACGAGUUGCGAGUCGGUGACGGCGAGCUAAUCUCUUAAAGCCAAUCUCAGUUCGGAUUGUAGGCUGCAACUCGCCUACAUGAAGUCGGAAUCGCUAGUAAUCGCGGAUCAGCACGCUGCGGUGAAUACGUUCCCGGGUCUU